rnacentral:lncRNA from 1 species
UUCCUCUUCUUCUUUUUCCUCUCCCACGUUCUCUCACCCCCCCCCCCCCAGUGAAAGCUUGCCUUGAAUUUCCAUAUAUUUUCUUAAGUUAACCUCGAUUUUUCAUGUUUUUGUGUACCCUUUCCCAAAGUUCUUUGUGCUCUUCUACUUUCUCACCAUAAAAACCCUCAAAAACCUUUCCUUAUUACACUCUCUCACUAGCUGGACAUUCUAGAGAGAGAAAGUGAGAUUUUCAUGAUAGUUUGAAAGCUUUUGGGAAAGAAAUUCAAUUACAAAACUACCAAGGUGAGUAGUGAAAUUGAGUUGAUUUUUUUUAAGUUGUUGAGAAUGGCUAGUGGCUAGAUCAGUGAGUGUUUUGUAGUUGAGGUGGGUUAUUCAUUGUAGUGUGACUAGAAUAGUGAAAAUAUAUAGUCACUUGAUGGUAUAUGGAAACUAGUUAAAAACAACUAGCAGAACAUGAUUUAGUGGAUAGCUUUUAGAAAUAUAAUUAUACAAAUCGGGUUAAUUGUGAUGUUGUUGUGAUGAUAGGUCCCAACGAGGCUCCACAGUUCCAUUUGGACCAUUAGUGGAGGUUGGAGUUGAGUAAAGAUUCAACAAAUACCAAUGAGUGAAGUUGCACGAAAUGUUUUGGGAUUAAGGCACAUGUGGUUGAUUGAGACAUUUUAAUUGUUUUUCUAUAAAAUGCAUGGGAACAAGCCUUUAGUGAAAUGUUUUUGGUGAUGUGGAACAUGAUUGUGAUAAAUCUCUGUACUUUUAUAUGAUGCUGAUAUGUAUAUAAAAAUAUAUGAUAUGUAUUGCUAAGUAAUUUUGUGUAAUUGAUGUAACCGUGCAUGUGCGGAGUGGGCAGUGCAUAUGCCGAUUACAUGAUGAUGUAGUGACAAGUACAAUCGUGCAUAUGCAGAGUGGACAGUGCAUAUGCCUGUCAAAUGAUGAUGUUGUGACACUUACAACUAUGCAUGUGCAGAGUGGGGAGUGCACAUGCCGGUAAUGAUGUGCGUGUGGGGAGUGCAUGUUGGCUGAGGGAGGUGGUGGUAUUCGUGUUUAUAUAUAUAUACAUACAUGCGUAGUAGAAAGUUUAUGAAUAUAGUACGUGAUUGUAAUGUAUGUGGAAUCUUGCAUGUUGAACAGUGAAAGUUGUUAAGUAUUUUCAAAUUGAUGUUUAUUGCAGCAAGGAAUUUGGCUACAGGGAAAAUGGAUUCUCGAUGCAGCCAGAAACUCUCGGGUGGUGGUGCAGUGCUGUCACUUUGACAGUGAUUUUGACCACCUUUCGGUCACAUCUAGGCAAAGUGGUAAACAAUAAACUCGUAGCCCUGCCUCUUAGCUUUCUAAUGACCCAACAAGCAUGUCAAUUAGACUUCUAUAGUGGGAGAUAUGCUUGAAAAACCGAAACAUAUGCAAAUGGAGAAUGCCUUUUGCUGCAGCGAGAAAUGUGCCGUCACAUUGCUUCCUUGCUCGGUUUUUGAUAAAAUUUUUCUUCACUCUUUUAUCUUCAUGAUUGAGCAUGGGUCCUUGCAACACUAAGAGUUUAUUUACCAAUGUUCAAAACAAGGGGUUUAGGGAAGAAAUUAAACUAAAUUACAUUGUUUUCAAAACAAGUGCAUCAUGAUUUUUAAAUUUUCCUUAUCAAUUGCUUGUUUCCUUCCUAUGUUCACUCACUGAGUUCAUACUCACAUUUUUCAACUUCAUGUUUUCAAAUCAGGAGGCAGUUGAAACCUAGGUUAAGGUAUCCUCAUGGACUCGUCUAUUUGAUAGGUAUCUCGACAUUCAAUAGCUGUACCUUCGCCAAGGUCGCUUCGCUGGAAGUCGAGUAUCUUUAUGCUAUAUAUAUAUAGAUAAACAAAAUGUAAAAUUUUAAGAUACUUGUCUUAGACAAUAUAUAUGUAUAUAUACUUUGAAUGGUAAUGCCAGUAUGAGUUGGCAAUGGUUAGCACCAUUUUGGGGUAAUAUAUAUA